UUGUAGAAAAGCUUACGUCGAAAAAGAC
rnacentral:sRNA from 1 species